AUGGGUGAAGGAAGCAACAGGGCUUAUGUUGAUGGGAAUACAGUUUGGUAUGACAGUUUGGAUAAGCUCACCUGGUCUCCAAUAAUGGUGGAACAUAUAGUAGAAGAGAUUGGAUGGGAGAUGGCAGGCAGGUUGAAGGCAUAUUAUCAAAUCCCAAUACUUGACAUUACUCAGAAUUCUUUGAGACAGAUCAGAUCUGAGGCAGAUACUGAUCAAAUGAUGACCUUUCUGUCUAUUGGGCAUCAUUUCUUCAGUAUUUAUCUUGAUCAUGAUGACACCUUGAUUACUAAGAAGGUUGUUGAUGAUGUGCUCCAAUUUCCAAGGGCUGAACUUCCACCAGUGUGUAGCCUUUCAAAAGAUGGUACUAAUCCUCAUGGUAGCAAGCCUGCAAAUUCUGAAGAAGACUGCCCUAUACCAAUUCAGGUUGUGUAUCCAAACAAUGAGCAUCUACUAGGUACGCAACAUAUUCCAUCUCCCAAAACCAGAAAUCACACCCAGUAG
rnacentral:rRNA from 1 species